GAUGAACGCUGGCGGCGUGCCUAAUACAUGCAAGUCGAGCGAACAGACGAGGAGCUUGCUCCUCUGACGUUAGCGGCUGACGGGUGAGUAACACGUGGAUAACCUACCUAUAAGACUGGGAUAACUUCGGGAAACCGGAGCUAAUACCGGAUAAUAUAUUGAACCGCAUGGUUCAAUAGUGAAAUACGGUUUUUCUGUCUCUUAUAGAUGGAUCCGCGCCGCAUUGGCUAGUUGGUAGGGUAACGGCUUACCAAGGCAACGAUGCGUAGCCGACCUGAGAGGGUGAUCGGCCACACUGGAACUGAGACACGGUCCAGACUCCUACGGGAGGCAGCAGUAGGGAAUCUUCCGCAAUGGGCGAAAGCCUGACGGAGCAACGCCGCGUGAGUGAUGAAGGUCUUCGGAUCGUAAAACUCUGUUAUUAGGGAAGAACAAAUGUGUAAGUAACUAUGCACGUCUUGACGGUACCUAAUCAGAAAGCCACGGCUAACUACGUG
rnacentral:rRNA from 1 species